rfam:Ananas comosus cultivar MD2 ACMD2_Scaffold_8153, whole genome shotgun sequence.
GGAUGCGAUCAUACCAGCACUAAUGCACCGGAUCCCAUCAGAACUCCGCAGUUAAGCGUGCUUGGGCGAGAGUAGUACUAGGAUGGGUGACCCCCUGGGAAGUCCUCGUGUUGCAUCCC